GACGAACGCUGGCGGCGUGCCUAAUACAUGCAAGUCGAACGCAGUGGGGACGUGUGAGUAACACAUGGGUAACCUCCCAUCAGAGGGGAUAACCCUUGGCCACAGGUGCUAAACCGAUCCUGAUGUAUGGACCCCCGGUGCAUUAGCUAGUUGGUGAGGUAACGGCUCACCAAGGCAACGAUGCAUAGCAGACCUGGGAGUGUGUACGGGAAAACGGGUACGGUGACAGGGCCCAGACACCUACGGGAGUCAGCAGUAGGGAAUCGUCGACAAUGAGCGCAAGGCCGACCGAGCAACGCGGAGUGAGUGAAGAAGGUUAUAGGAUCGUAAAACUCUGUUGUUAGAGAAGCGGUAUCCACCUAGAAAGCCACGGCUAACGACGUGCCAGCAGCCGCGGUAAUUC
rnacentral:rRNA from 1 species